ensembl:lncRNA
CUUCAUUGUACAGCACAGACUAUCACAACAUUGCAAAGCAAUUAUACUCUAAAAAUGUUUAACAAUGAAAUAAAAUCUGUUAUCUAUACAACAAAAUAAUGAGACCCUGCCUAUGGAAGUGUUUUGUAACUCUGCAGAGCUUUAUGAAGGAAAGGCGUUCACCUAGAGAUAGAAUCUACAUAACCACAGUCCAAUUUUCUUUGCCUCAGCAAUCUAAGGAUUGGAGUACUGUUAGGACCAUUUACAGAUGGAAUUUCAGAGGGUCCACAUGGAGAAGGAUCGCUUUAUACUCUGGUGGAUCAACCUCACAAGGAAUGCGCAGUGGUGCCUCCCCCUGUGAGCCCACCAUUUCCCUCAAGAAACAACUACACAAGACCAAGGGAAUCUUGCAGCUGUCCAGUUGGAAACAAAUUGUAUGUAAAGACUACCUCAACUAAAAGCCACAGAACAGAUUUUCCUCACUAUUUGACUAUAGGAGGAAAACAGACCUUUAUGGAGCUAAAGAAUCUUGAGAGAGAUGGGAAAUUGACUCUAAGCACCAUCCAUAAAUACCCUAGAGUCUGCUACUGAAUUCAUGGAUUGGAUUAAGCUACAAUCAAGAACGAGUAUAGUAGCGAUAGGAGUCUGUGUGUAAGUAAAUCAAUAAAUAGACAAAACAUCUGUGGUUUGUAUA